rnacentral:lncRNA from 1 species
UCCUCUUCACCACAUCUCAAGUUAUCCUUACGACAUUAACCAAUGUGAAAGUAGUCAAUUUCUGUAAUAAUCAACAACCAAAAUGUGAACCAACAUUUUUCAGUAAAUCCACUCCAACUCCUAAUCUGAGCAGGUGCAUGGCAUUUCUUAAAAUAUAAUUGGCUUCUUGAUUCAUCAUAUAUCAAGUCAACAAAAUCGAGGUAGCAUCUCUAACAUGUAUGAACAUUUGACGGUGUUGAGAAAACAAUGUAGAUGACCUAUUAGUCUAUUUAAAAACAGAAAAAGGAAACUAUAGAAGGAAAUAAAAAAAAAAUAGGGUGUAGUGUUUGUGUCUGAUAUAUAUAUAUAUAUAUAUAUAUAUAUAUAUAGAGAGAGAGAGAGAGAGAGAGAGGAAGAGAGAGCAUUUGCUAAAGAAACAAGGUGGAAUACAAUUUAGCUUCUCAGGUCGUAUUAGGAAAGUUUACUAUGAGCUCCAACGAUUCUGACCUCUUUUGGAGACAAUAAAGGCUUGGUAAAUGGGAUAAUUAUCUAGCACCAUGCAAGCAAGAGCGUCCUAAUAAAGCCAAUUCCUAGUUAAUUUCUCAAACUUUUUCCUUUCUUUCUAUUUUUGAAUAAACAUUUCCUUUUUGCUGUAACAGCAGGGUCGAAAGCCAUAACACUCCAGUGGAGGCAACAAAUUCAAAUCCCAGUAUAGCAGGGGAAGUGACAUAGCAAAACUACCCAAAUGACAUCAAAACCAAUAUAUGGUAGUUCAUCACUACCUAAAUUGACCCAAAUGACAUGUAUCCUGACAUAGGUUACAUAUCUCAACGUGGUGAUUAGAAUGAAACUCCAUAUUUUUAACAGGAUACAUCCAAUCAAAAUCCCGAAAGAUAAAAAUAUUGAUAUAAUAAAUACCGAAUGUUAGUAAUCCGUGACAAAAUCUUCAAACAUGCAACUACAACACUGGAAAAAAAAAACUAAAAACAAAUCUAAAAGGAAAAAAAGGUGCCAAGAAAACAGGAGCUCCAACAGCGAAAUGUCAUCUUUGUUAUUCUUGCAGAAGAAUAAAUAUUGGUUGAAAGGUAAAGGUAUUACCUUUUAAACUUGAAUUCCACCAUUGAUAUUUAAGAGUAGAGUAGACGUUCACGGAGCGAGAAGAAAUUAUCUGAAAAUUGUCAAUAAUGGUCUGAGAUGCUUCGUGCCAAGGAAAUAUUAGUUAAAAAGGACACAUGAAACAUAUUGCAAGAGAGCAAGUAAUUAAGGCAUAAUGGAAAGAAAAAACAAAUUUAGCGGAAGUUUUUAUUUCUUAUUUACUUGUCAAACAAUAAAAUUAUUUGUUCAUCUUGAAUUUUACCAUUGGAAAUUACAAGCAGUAAAAAAACUCUCGUGAGAAGAAACUUUCUAAUUUUUCCCUUCUUUCCUUUUAGACUUCCUAAAAUUUUUCAUUAAUGGUUUGAAAUGCUCUAAGCCAUGGAGAAAGCAGAAGAAAGAAAAAAUAUAUGCAAUAAAAUAAGAAAUGAGGGCAUACAAACCUUACCUUUUAAUAAAUUCUCUAACCUAAAUUGCAAACUUUAAAUAAACAAUAACUGGACACAUAUUUCUGAAAAAAGGUUCCAACAAAACCCGAAAAAAUGAUAUCUAUCAACGAAAUUGUUUAUGAAGGUAAAAAAUUCUAGAUAUGAUGGGUACCUAUAUCAGAUUAUUCCACAUCUUAGCAGAGGGACGAAGGUUCUUGCUCCUAUGUUUGGAGAGACUAAAUCAAAACAAAGUAGGAAAAUGUUACCAAAAAGAAAAAGAAAAAAGCACAUUAAACAUAGGCAAAAUGAGUGAAAGUUUACCAUGAUUACAUUUGAAAAAAAGUGAUUCAGAUGGCUGAGAAGAAUCAAACAUCUUCCCCCUUCAUCCUGUUUCCCAUUUCCUGUUAACUGAAGAGAGAGUUUGAGAGGAAUGGGACAUCAACAAAGAAAUGAGGAGGAAUGGGUGAGACAAAGGAGUCAUCUGCUUUUUUCUGUUCUAUUCUGGUGGGCAAACGAAUAGAAGUGAGAGACUUUGAGAAAGUUUCUGAGAGAAGGGAGGUGAAACAUAUGGGAAGUGUGACUGGCACAUUGGGCAGUGAGUCGCAGGCUCGCAGCAGAUGCAUGCUUGUUUUUUUAUGCUUUUUAUAUAGGCAUGCUAAGCCCUUUUCGUUCCAAGACAACAAAAGAAGAGCCUUUCUAUUAAUCUGUUUUGGAUUCCAACGCACAAAAGAAUAUUCCUCAAAACAAAAAUUUCUCACACAAAACCACGUGCAAUGCACACGGAGGACGACCGUGUUUUGACAAUCUCUUCCCAGUUUAUAUACAUUCUUUAAACAACUCCAAGAAAUUAAACAAAUUGGUUCGUCUUCCAUCUCAUCGUGGUUAUAAUAUACAAUCAUUGUAGUUUAUGAUUGAAAAUUCUGUAAAAUUCCCUUUUUUUUGGGGGGUUCUACUUUAAUAAUUUUGCCCAAUGGUUAUAUGGAAUCAGAAUUACUAAUUUUAAUAUGUUAAAAAAAAGACAAAUAAAUGGGGAAAAAUGAAGGAAAAACCUUAAAUCUUCGCCUUUGAACUUAAUCAUUGCGACGAAAUUCGGAAUUCAACAAUGCUAGAGAGUUGCGUGAAUGAUGAAGAUCAAGGUUUACGAACCCUUGAUAGAAUUGGAUGAAGAUGAAUUGAUUUAUCGGAUUAAGUCAGAUUGAAUUGACAGUGGAAGUGCCCAGAUUUUUGGGAUUCUUUGGGUAACAAGGUCCACCUAGAUUCUGUGAGGUGCUAUAGUAGAUUUUAGCGAUGAAGAUUUUGGAUCGAGUAAAGGAAGAAAGGGAAAGGAAGAUUUUGCAUCUUUGGCCCUUCCCGUCCAAACUUUGGGUCUUCGUUUUGCAUCUCUGUCGAAAUUUUUCAUUUGCAGAUCUACAACUAUGGUGGGUGCAAGCUUGGAAGAGACAUGGAGGACAAAAUUGGAAUGAAAUGAGUUUCUGCUAGACACAAGUUACCAUUAAGUCGCGUAAAUAUCACUCGCUAGCUCCCAACCGGUUAGCAGGUAAAAUCCAAAUAAGUCCAAAGCACAGGGGGGUUAAGUGGGAGUUUCUAAACAAUGAGGAGGUUUCGUGUCAAUUUCCUUAACCACAGGGAGGUUUUAUGUACUUUACCCAAGAUAAAAAGGUGAUUGGAAUUUGUGAAGCAAAUUAUUUUUUUCAAAUCAUUUCAAUCCAAACACACUCAAUAUCAUUUUUGGAUACAUGUCAUAUAUACAAAAGUUGAUAUUAGAAUUCAAAUUUGGAUUAAAUAAUAUGCAUUAAAAUCUGAAAAUGUAUACUGUCAAUAUAAACAAGAGGGUCCUCUUGUUUUGGAAAAAAAAAUUAAAAAAAAAAUAUGAAGGAAUCCCGUGGCCAUGUAAACAUUUUUUCUUUUUUUUGCAAAAGGAUAAACUUUCUUCAUAAAAAAAAUAUGCAAUUUAAGAAAUGGAUUAUAGUUUUUAAACUUUUACAGUAGUCCCAAUUUUUCUUUCGAGCAUGAAAAAAUGAUUCUAUAAAUACAUAUUUUCAGAUUUUAAACACGAGUUUGUUACUAAAAAUAUGAAGGUAUCCCGUGGCUGUGUAAACCUUUUUUUUUUUUUUUUUGCAAAAGGAUAAACUUUCUUCAUAAAAAAAAUAUGCAAUUUAAGAAAUGGAUUAUAAUUUUUAAACUUUUACAGUUGUUCCGAUUUUUCUUUCGAGCAUGAAAAAACGAUUCUAUAAAUACAUAUUUUUGGAUUUUAAACACGAGUUUGUUACCUCAUUUGUAAAAUAGAUCCACCGCCUAAAUUAUGGGCAACUUCGGUGGCUUUUGCAUUCAUGCUUCAGUUGUGUGCUUGGUCAACUUUGGUGGCUUUUGUGUUUGUGCUUCAGAGUUCAGACGUGUAUUUGUAUCUUCAUCGUAUAGUUGUAGUUGCUUGAGCUCCCCUGGUGAGUGGGCGGUGGGUGGUGUCCGAAGCGGUCUGUGGGAGCCGCACAAAGCUGUAUUGCCUAUAUAAUCUUGAGAGAAAGCCAUCUGAAAAGCAACAUAUUGGAUGUGUUUCUUUCUCCAAUUGAAGACCUGGAUUUGGCGGUUUUACAAGGUGAAGUCUUCGCACUCUCACCUAGCUGAUCUUGUUUAAACUUAUUUCAUUCUUGAUUAGAUACAAAUAGUGUGUGCAUAAUUUUAAAAGUGAUCAGCGUCACCAUGUUUAUGAUAUAUGUAUGUACGUGUACAUUUUAAAUGAAUGCAUCAUUUAUUUAUAAUAUCAAGAAUUCGCAAAGAUCUUAAGCCAAAGACUAACUAUCUAAGAGAAAAUUACAAAUCAAAUGAGUAAACGAGUAACAGCAAUAUUCAAUUUACCUAAAGUCAAAUUCUCCACAUUUAUUAACACCUAUCAUGUAUUAAAUAUAUAACCAUUUUACAUUAAUCCACUUGCCUUCAUUUGAUCUUGAUUAACAUAGACCCAGGGCAUCCUCACGCAUUGCGUGAGGCUGAAAAAACUAGUAAGAAAUGAAAAGAGAGGGACUAGGGGGCCUAGGGAAGGGGACGACAAGUUUUAACUUAAAAUUUUAAUCUUUUACCUUGAGAAUUCAGGGAAAAUUCCAUGCCAGUUGAUUAAUACACAAUGAAAUUUACUGUCAAUUCCAAGAAAAUGAACUAAUACUUAAACCUGAUUGCAAAAAUGAUGAAAUUAAAAAAAAAAGAACAGAAAAUUAUGAAUUACCCCAAAAGAAGAAAAUAAAAAUUAAAUAGUUGAUCCUUAAAUGCGUGGAAAUUGUAGAUUACGAUGACAACAAAUGGAUUUAAUGUUCGACGGAAUUUGUAAUCAAGUGAAGCUCAAAUCUGGAAUUUGUAAUUGGGAGAAUAAAUUUUUCAGAGAUAAUAAAACAAACAAAUGUCCCGUUUGGCAAAUGAGUUUUUCGAAUGUUCGCCUAAAAUUUUAUUAUAACUUACUGUAAAAGUUGUAGGAAAAUUUUUUAAGAUGGAAAACUUUUUUUCCUUUUCUUUAUUCUUUUUCUCUUUCUCUUUCUCUUUCUUUUUUUUUCUUUUAUUUCCUCUCAUUUUCUUCUCCUUUCCCCCUCCCUUUCUCUCUACCCUGCCACCCUCCCUGGUCGCAAGUCUGGGGGAGAGGGAAAAGGAGGAGGGAGAGAAAAAAGGAAAGAAGCUUCUUUCUGUCGGCGCUGGAAAAGGUGUUAGGUAGUGGUGGUAGGUUGAAGUGGGGGAAAGAAAAAGAAAGGAAUAAUGAAAAUUGUUUUGUGUGUAGUUUAAAAUUUUGAAAAAUUUUUUUAGGUUACUGUAAUUAAAAUUAUUAAAAAACUGGUAGUAAACAAACUUGGACAAAACCUCAUUUGUCAAAAAAGUCCUUUGGAGGAAAAGAAAUUAAACAUACCUUAGUACAUGGUACAAAAUCCUAUAGAAAUAUGGCAAAAUGAUAAAGAAGAGAGAAAAGAAAAACUUCAAAUAAAUGGUCAUUACAAUUGUGCUGACUAUUAAAAGGCAAAGAUAAAGGAUUAGUAUGGGAAAAAAUACAAACAAUUAGAGUAAAAGAGAAAGAUGAAAAAAAAUUAGGUAAUUAGACAGAUAAAGUAACGAUAGCAACCAUGAUUACACAUCUAAUUACAACUUUAAUUAGCCACUUGAAUUACAAAACACAUAAGUAGUUUCCAAAUCAUUCAUACCAUAAACACAAUUUGUAGUAGACUUUUGGAAACAAAAUUAAGGGCAAAAACCCUAACAAUCAAUUACUUGCACCACAUGCCACAAAUGUAUAUGAACCCAUGCUGAAAAUACAAUCUCAGCCCCUAAGAGGCAAAAGAAAUUCAACACAAGAGUUUGACUAAAAGUGUUUUUUAUAUAAUAUAAGAAAAUAUUUAAAAAUAAAUAAAUAAGAUAAACUGUUACCUUUUUCUUUUUUCAUAUUGCACCCACCAUUACUAAUCACCGCCACCUUUUUUCCUUAUUCUUCCUCCAAUGCUGCUACUUCCUUUCCCUAUGAUUUUCUUUCCGUCCUCUCUUUCCUUCCUCUUUUUCUUCUAUCUUUCCUUUCCUCUAUUCUACUUCUUCUCCCAUAACCAGUCUCUUUCUUUCAUUUCCUCGGUGAACUUCCUCUUCCUCUCAUUCCCUACUGGUUGCUGGUUUGGUCACGAUUACAACUAAUAGGGGAAGAGAGAGAGGGUAGGGUGGUCACAUCUAAUUCGUGACUAGAUCUAGGAAAAAGGAGGGAGAGGAAGGUGGUUGUAGGAGAAAAAAUGGGAAUAGAUGGGAAUGGAAGGGGACGAGAAGGAUGGAGAGGGAAGGGACAGGGGAAAGGGACGAAGAGAGGAGAAAGAGGAAAAGGGUGGAGGCGUUAGAGGAAAAAGAAAUAGAGGGGAGCAGCAGUAGUAGGUGGUAGAAGGACGACAUCCUCC